GUUAAAUAUUGUUUUAUGGAAAAAUUAGUAAGUUACAACAUUUUAGAAUCUUAUCGAUUAUAACAUUGUUUAUGUGAAUCCUACUAUGUCGCUGACGUAUAAUAUUGCAUUUUGGAUAUAGUUAAAAAAAACCAAAAAAAAACGUGUGGAACCCUUAGGAAAAUGCCUAUUUUGUCGUUUCAAGACAAUCACUGUCAAACCGUAGCCCGACAUAUAGCAAAGAUCAAUUAUAACGAACUGUUUUAUCAGAAGUUUCGAAGUGUUAUAAUAAUGUACAACAUACACAAAGC
rnacentral:lncRNA from 1 species